UACGAAGGGGGCUAGCGUUGUUCGGAAUCACUGGGCGUAAAGCGCACGUAGGCGGAUCUUUAAGUCAGGGGUGAAAUCCCGAGGCUCAACCUCGGAACUGCCUUUGAUACUGGGGAUCUCGAGUCCGGGAGAGGUGAGUGGAACUGCGAGUGUAGAGGUGAAAUUCGUAGAUAUUCGCAAGAACACCAGUGGCGAAGGCGGACUCACUGGCCCGGAACUGACGCUGAGGUGCGAAAGCCAGGGGAAGCCG
rnacentral:rRNA from 1 species